UACGUAGGGGGCAAGCGUUGUCCGGAAUCAUUGGGCGUAAAGAGCGUGUAGGCGGCCAGAUAAGUCCGCUGUGAAAUCUCGAGGCUCAACUUCGAGCUGUCGGUGGAAACUGUCUGGCUAGAGUCCGGAAGAGGAGAAUGGAAUUCCUGGUGUAGCGGUGAAAUGCUUAGAUAUGACAUAGAACACCAAUUGCGAAGGCAGCUUGCUACACGGUUAUUGACACUGAGGCACGAAAGCGUGGGGAUCAAACAGG
rnacentral:rRNA from 1 species